CUCCCUGUAGCUCAACUUGGAUAGAGCAGCUGCCUUCUAAGCAGCAGGUUGGAGGUUCGAAUCCUCCCAGGGAGGCCG
rnacentral:tRNA from 1 species